UGAGGAAUAUUGGUCAAUGGGCGCAAGCCUGAACCAGCCAUCCCGCGUGCAGGAAGACGGCCCUAUGGGUUGUAAACUGCUUUUCCAGGGAGAGAAACUUACGCACGUGUUGCGUGACUGACGGUACCCUGGGAAUAAGCAUCGGCUAACUCCGUGCCAGCAGCCGCGGUAAUACGGAGGAUGCAAGCGUUAUCCGGAUUCAUUGGGUUUAAAGGGUGCGUAGGCGGGCUAUUAAGUCAGUGGUGAAAUCCUGCAGCUUAACUGCAGAACUGCCGUUGAUACUGAUAGUCUUGAGUUUGGUUAAGGUAGGCGGUAAUGUGUAAUGUAGCGGUGAAAUGCUUAGAUAUUACACAGAACACCAAUUGCGUAGCAGCUUACUGAGCCGACACUGACGCUGAGC
rnacentral:rRNA from 1 species